rnacentral:rRNA from 1 species
CUACGGGUUGCUCCAGUGGGGAAUAUUGCACAAUGGAGGAAACUCUGAUGCAGCAACGCCGCGUGGAGGAUGACACUUUUCGGAGCGUAAACUCCUUUUAUAUAGGAAGAAGAUGACGGUACUAUAUGAAUAAGCGCCGGCUAACUCCGUGCCAGCAGCCGUGGUAAUACGGAGGGCGCAAGCGUUACUCGGAAUCACUGGGCGUAAAGAGCGUGUAGGCGGAUUAAAAAGUCAGAAGUGAAAUCCUAUAGCUUAACUAUAGAACUGCUUCUGAAACUCUUAAUCUAGAAUAUGGGAGAGGUAGAUGGAAUUUCUGGUGUAGGGGUAAAAUCCGUAGAGAUCAGAAGGAAUACCGAUUGCGAAGGCGAUCUACUAGAACAUUAUUGAUGCUGAGACGCGAAAGCGUGGGGAGCAAACAGGAUUAGAUACCCCCGUAGUC